UUUCUCUUUCUCCGCCACCCCCGAUCGAUCCUCCAUUUUUCCUUGUUUUCUUCUUUUUUCCCCUUUUCCGUUUCGAAAUUUCCUAUCGACGGUGUCGAGAGGAUGCGCUCGAUCGCUAGAAUGCAUACGCGCCACGGUUUACUUUCUAUCGUGACAAUAACGUUCACUUUUGAACUUAAAUUACUUACAAAAAAAAAACCUAUUUUAAAGUAUAAAAGUUUAUCUCUAUAAAAGAAUCUUAACGCUUUUUCGUUACGGAAAAAAGAAAAAUUAUCGAUCGAUCGAUCAAAAUUUUUAUCCUUGCUCCAUUUUUUUUUCUUUCUUUUUCUUUCUUUCUUUUUUUUUUUUUUUUUACGAAGAUUUGAUCUCGAUAAAAUAUCUCUUUCCUACUCCGAUUUCAGAGUAUUCGCAAUGUGUUAAAUUGUUUCAAAGAGUCGGUAAAGGUUGGAGGGCUACGGAAAAAAAGGAUUGCUUUUCCAAUUAUACAAUAUAAUCGGCGAUGAUGGAUCAAACGUUCCCGAUAAAAAGUCGGGCGGAAGCGCAGUUGCGAGCGUACUCUCUGUUUGAUUUCAAUUUCUCGAGAAAUAUAACUGGAGAGAUAUUUACCCGGCAAUCCAAGGGGCGAGCUGUAUGCGGGAAUCUAAUAAAUGUAAUUGCACGAAGCGAAAGAAUGAGCCAAUAAUGCCCAUUUCUCGAAACGUAACAAAGCAAAAAAGAUGUGUCCAUGAUACAAUAGUUUGACGUUAAACGUGAACACGAGGAGAAUUUUCUAUUUAUAACCACGGAUAUAUUCGCGUUGAUUCGCAAGCGAAAUCACAUGUGUGUAUCACAACACUGUGUGAGAGAUGCGUGCUUCGCAUAGUUAUUUGCACCAGAUAAGAUAAUCUUUCCACGUCGACAGAGUUGGCAAUAAAAUCACGCGUAGAAAUGGUUGAUUCGUCAAUCGGUCGGUUUUUAUCACCGCUGUGAACUUUUUCACCAACGUAACGUCAUAACGUGCAGGUAGAAACUUUCUGCUACUCGUUCUUUGCUCUCGCCGAGCAAAAUGUUUUCGCGAGCCGUGCUCUCACUUCUCUUGCUCUCGCACGUCGUUCUCUGUCUGGCGGAAAAAACCACGCAAACCCCUACAGUGAUAAAGACCACCAUGUCCGUCCCGGCGAUUCUUAUAACAGUGAUGUUUUGCGUUUCCGCGCCGGUGUUAAUUGUACUUAUACCCACACUUCUCUAUUAUAAAUUCUGUGGAAAGAGCCUGAAAGGCGAGAUCGUCUAAAGAAGACUACUCAUCGAAACUGUCGGACAUCGCGUGGACAUUGUUAUUGUGAAAUCGUUAUUUAUUUGUUUAAAUUUAUUUGAAUAAUUUCAUAAUUGUACGUACAUCCGUAUACGUAAAAAAGAAACAACAAUUAAUUGGAAUGUUCAGACAAAAUUCCAUAUUGUUAAAUUCAACGAAUCGAGCAAUCGAACUCGGUCCAAUUGUAAAUAUUUAUUUAAUUGGAAAUCUCGUGCAACGAGAAAAAAAAGUACACUGAUCAGCCGACGGCCUCAAAUUUUUUGCACAAAUUUUUAUACUCUGAUUACAAAAAUAAAAGCGAUAAUUUUUGUACUUACCUUUCGAUACGUAUAAUCAUUUAGAAUAAAUACGCAUCGAUCCGUUGUUGAAUAUCUAUGACUGGCGAAUGAUCAUUCAUGCUAUUUUGAUUAAAAUUUUAAAGCCGAGGAAUAAUAUCUUUUCAACGUCAUCGUGUAGCCGAGGUAACGAUAAUUCGAUACCAUAUACGCGUGUUCGUGUGCAGACCGUAUCCACGUUGUAUCUCGCCGAUAAUUUUACGAAAAUGGAGAAUGUCGGUUUGGAUAAUUACUAGAGAGUAUCGGCAUGUGUUUGUUAACGUUAGCCAUUGAAUAAUAAUUUUACCUGGCUAGCCACGGAAUCGAAUCGAAGGAUUUAAAUAAAAAUGCCGAUCCAUGGUUACCGAUCACGACACUCGCGUUUAUUUACAUGAAACGUGUCAUUGUUUCGUUUAAUAGAAUAUCCACAUAUCUACAUGGCUCGACAAAUUGAUCGCAAAAUUUAUCAUAUUAUUACGGAACGAUGGAAAAUGCGACGUUUUCCAAUUCGUUUGGUUACGACAUCAUGGGCAAAAUGAAAUUGUUGAUAAUAUGUUUCACCGAUUCAAUCGAUUCAAUCGAUUCGAUCAAUUCGCAUUGACUGUUCGAAAAUUUCUAUAGAAUUUUAUUUUUUCGCGAAGUUAUUGGAUAUCAUUAGUUCUUUGAUCAAUAAAACUUAGAAAAUAAAUCGUUUCAAAAUUAGAUUGAAGAAUUAAAAUUUGACUUACGUUUUAUCGUUGUAACUCACGUCUCAAUUUUCCCCAACAUCAUGACGAUUGAUACGACGUUACAUUUAUACAGAUGUAACUCAAAUUUUAUCACCAUAAACAUAUCACUCGCAUUCUGCAAUUUAAUUUGUAAUGUAAAAAUAUACUUUAUAUUAGUAUUUGUAAUUACACAGAGUUGCCAAUAUUCUUAUAUUUACUUGUGAAAUAUAGUAUAUUCGAAUAUUCAUCAAAAUUCAAAAUUUAAUAUACAAUGAAUUGGAUAUAAUAAUUUUUUAAAUAAUAAUAAUUCGAAUAAACUAUUAAAAUUUUUAAUCUAAAAAAAUAAAUGAAAACAAUCAAGUAAAUCAGAUAUUAAAAUCAUUUAUGGAACUAUUAAAAUUUCUUAUAAAUCUUACAAAGCAAGUAUAAACAGAAAGAAAGUAAGUACAAAGAAAAGAAUAGAAAUAAUAUAAAAAUUGUGAAAUUAAGACUACCUUCAUAGUGCGACAAAUGAAACAUAAAGAAAGGAGAGAAAAUAGCAGGAGCAAGACAGAGAAAAAUUCAUCAACAAUCAGUGCCAUCUAUUGAAUAUCGAAAAUAUUUCUUUAAAAGAACAAGAUAGAAGAAUUAAAUAUCAAUGCUUAUCUCUUGAGUAAAAAUAUUUUUCUAAAAAAGUAUUUCUAAAAAUAAUCGAGAGAUGGCGCUGAAUGUUAAGUCUAACGUUUUCUAUGCAUUGAUUUUAACCUGUACCAAAAACGAAUAUGUAUAAAGAAAAUAAAUAAAUAAAUAAAAAUAAAUCAAUAACAUGUCUGUGUAAUCGAUAAAUAAACAUUGACUCUACUUUUG